rnacentral:rRNA from 1 species
UACGAAGGGGGCUAGCGUUGCUCGGAAUCACUGGGCGUAAAGCGCACGUAGGCGGAUCUUUAAGUCAGGGGUGAAAUCCCAAGGCUCAACCUUGGAACUGCCUUUGAUACUGGAGAUCUCGAGUCCGGAAGAGGUUGGUGGAACUGCGAGUGUAGAGGUGAAAUUCGUAGAUAUUCGCAAGAACACCAGUGGCGAAGGCGGCCAACUGGUCCGGUACUGACGCUGAGGUGCGAAAGCGUGGGGAGCAAACAGG